AGCAACACCACUGUUGUAAAAUGUGAUCACGGUCCCCUCAAACAUGAAUGUAACAUUCACAAAUCAAUUUGUUCAAGCGCAGGCUCCAGGUGGGGGUCAACCUGUGCUUCAACAGCCUCAGGGUCAUCUCAGAUCACCUCAGGGUCAGCAUGGACAAAUCUUUUCUCAAGCUCCAAAGCAGAACCAGUACGUAUUUACUCAACCUCAAGGACAGACCAUUAUUGCUCCCUCUCAAGUCCGCCCAAUUUCAGCAAAUGCUCAAGAACAAAUUUUAUUUGCUCAAGAAGGACUAAAAAAUUCCGUCUUAUUCCAAUCUGCAGAGCAACCCCAACUCCAAUACAUUUCAACACAAGGUUACAACCAAUCAGUUUUCCAAGUCCAAGGACAAGAUCCCAAUCACCCCGUCUUUGUUCAAACCCAAGGACAUGAUCCAAAACAACCAUUCUUUGUCCAAAACCAAGGGCAUAAUCAAAAUCAACCCGUCUUUGUUCAAACCCAAGGACAUGAUCCAAAACACCCAUUCUUUGUCCAAAACCAAGGGCAUAAUCAAAAUCAACCCGUCUUUGUUCAAACCCAAGGACGUAAUCCCAAUCAACCUGUCCUUGAUCAAUCUCAAGGAUAUGUUGGUCCCAUUUUUGAUCCAUCACAAAGACAAUACAUACAAGGACAAAGAAAUAUGGACAUUGACAUUGCUCAAAAUAAAAACUGUUACAGUCAGUAUUCAUCUUUAUCUCCAUUCCAGCAUAUUUCCUAUCUUCCCAAUCAACAUAUUGCUCAAGAUGGUGGAGUUGUUAGCGGACAGGCACCAAUCCCUGGUCCUAAAAUGGUUAACACCUCCCAUUCCAACAUGUUACAGAACUCAGCCUUGCAACCAUACACUUACCAGUCUGAAGACUUCACAGGCAAAAUUGCCGAGGUAAAUUCAAAUUCAGAAUCUGGCAUAGCUGACCAUAGUUCACAUGAAGUUAAGGGAACAGGUGUCCUGGUAUCUUCAUCUUCAAAUAAUUCUCAAUAUCAGAUUUUUUAUCAGAAUCCUGGCACAGUACAAUUUGCUCCGGAGAAUCAAUCCUUUCCAAACCUGAUUCAGAAGAACCAUGAUCCUCUUAGUCAUUCCAUUUCCUCAUCUGCGGUGCCAUCUCUAACCCAAAGUUAUCUAUCAGUGUCUCACCACGCAUCCCAGUUAAAUGUUGAGUCUAACUAUACCCAGAGCCAGGUUCAAACUGUUCCAAUACAGCAUCAUUCUUCUAACUCCUACCAACCUUCAGUCUCUAGUUCAAAUCCUGUAAAUAAAACUGGUACUAGUACAGAUAAUUUUCAAACCAGAGCUAAACUGUAUACACAUGUAGCCAUCCAAAACUCUUUGCAACAAACCUCUUACAAUGGAGCUCUCUAUCCAUCCAAUCCUUUUAAUGCUCCAGGAGUCGGGCAUAAAUAUCAUUUGGAACAGGGUCAAUCUUUGCGUGAAGCUCAAUGCAGUUCCAGUGGGGAGUUGAACCCUGAGACCUCUUUGUCUUAUGAGAGAACCUAUUCUUUACCUCAAUAUGUUCCAGCUCAUAAUUCUCUGGUUUCAGCUCAGGUAUCGACUCUUCCCUUUUCCAAUCCUGAUCCAAGUUCUCCCAGGCUACAAAGUUAUGUGGAUAUCAAUCAUCCUCUUCUUCCAAGCUAUAUUUUAAAUCAACCUAAAUCAUCUGAUACUCAGCAGUUGUCUCUAACUCCAACGCCCAGUGAUAAUCAAGUACCUGUCAAUCAAUCAAUCAACGACUCCCAUGAGGAUUCUGAAGCAUACUCUGCUGAGGAGUCCCCAGGCUACCAAUCUGAAGACUCAGGUCCAGUCUCUGAAUUACCUGAUGAAAAGGAUGAUAACGAAACAGAAGGGAUUCCCUACCCUUCUCAAGAUGUCAUUGAACCUUCUUCGCCUUCCAGUCUCAGAAGAGCAUUUGAAGAAAGAUCCCAAAGCUAUUUCAUGUCAGAACAUCAAGAAGGGCAUUAUUCUCUUGCUUCUUCAUCAAGAAAUCCAUCCGAAGAAUCUGAUCUUGUUGAUGCUGAUAACGCAAAUACCAUUCAUGCUAACACUGGCAAUGACCAAGAAGCUGCUUCAAGCAAUCUUCAAGAACCCAACACUACUCAAGAAGUUGUCUCCGAAAAUAUCCAGCAACGUGGAUCAGACAAUUUACCUGAAAUUCCAAUCCAAAGUGCUGUCAUGGAUAUUCCUGAUCUCAGACAAGAGUUUCUUAACAACCAGAUGCUGCCUCUACCUGGACAAUUUGUUGUUCUGCCACCUCUAACAGAAGACCGUAGUAUUCAAACUAUCCAGCUUCUCACACCUACACAACAAGGACAGUUCUCUGUACAAACUAUAGUGUUACCAAUCAUGAAGUUAAAUCAAACUUCCUCUACUCCAACCCUGAAACCGUCCUAUCCUUCUCCGGUUUUACCAUCUCCUUCCUCCAACCCUUCUUCCUCAGAUACACCUGUACCUGUCUCCUGCCAGACAAAUCAGUUCUAUCCUCCAACUAAACCUCAAUUGACUGUUAAAGCAGAACGGGAUUUUUCUGAUCCGUUUGUUAUCAGGUCAGAUGACGACGAUGUUCUGCUGAACCAAGUUGAUGAGACCGGAUUACCGAAGGUUAUGCAAGGAAUUGAUCUUGAUCGUGUUAAACAGUUUGCUGCUGAGUUCAAGUCUGUAAGACUUAGUUUAGGAUUAACACAGACACAGGUUGGUUUAGCACUGCAGCCUGGUGUGGAUGGUCCAGUAGUAUCCCAGUCUACCAUCUGUAGGUUCGAGAAACUAGAGAUUACUGCUCUGCAGGUAAAGAAACUGUUGCCAAUUCUGCAGAGUUGGUUGUGUAAUAUCAAGCAGAAACAAAGCCUGGGAAUACCAAUAGAUAUUUCAUCUUCUCAUCACAUUCCUCAGGACGGACAGGAGCAAAAGCGAAGAAAAAAAAGAACAGUAUUCUCGGAAGAGACUGUAUCAGUUCUUAACCAGGAGUUCUCGUCAGACCAGAACCCUAACCUUGCAAAGAUUAUACAAAUUGCAGCCAAGGUUGGGUUGGAGAAGAGCACGGUUCGGGUUUGGUUCUCCAAUAGGAGACAAACAGAGCGUAAACUCCAACAGGAGCUAGAAGGGGGAGGAGAGUUGGAUCGGAAACAAAACUACGAUAAAGACGAAGUAUUUUCAACUUAUAAAAAUACAAAUAGCAACAGUUAGGAAAAUGGAAAGACUGAUUUUCUGAAUUCUAAACCUAUUAUGAACCAAUUUUGAAACAAUUCCACGUUUUUUGCAUGCCAUUUUCUGAACUGGUUGGAUAUAAAAUAUUCAGACCCUUUUUUAUUUAUCAGACCAAAGUUUCUAAACUUCCUUGAUUGUUUUUAAUUGUUAAGGAAUCGGGCAAAGCCCAUUAAAAAUAUGUGUCCUUAUAUCUCAAAAUGAAUCACUAAGAACUUAACAAAUGUGUCAUAGGCGCGGCAUAACCUAACUUGCGCUUGUAAAAUAUUAUUUGAUCUUAAAUGUGCUGUCGCGGUCGUUGUAAUUUUAUGGUACCCUUAAAACUUUUUGUAUGAGCGUGUUUAAUUUUAUCAAGUUCUUCCAUUGUCUCUUAAGCAGGAAUGUGCAAGUUACUUAAAAAAUGAAACCACACAAAAAAAUCAACUAUUAAAGUUAAAUGAUGGAUUAAUACAUUCUUGUUCAGAGAAAGCUUUCAAGGGUUCUUAUGUAAAUCGGACAUGCCACUUUAAAAAUGGAGGGUCAAUAAAAGUUAUGUUUACGUCUAAACCUUCUUAAUGUAACUUUGUAAUGUAUUUCUGUACUGUACCAAUUUUACACUUUGUACAUAUUGAGUUGAUAGAUCUAAUCUAUUUCUGUUAUUAAAGUUAACUUGUUAAUUUAUAACGUGCUAACUUAACAUUACAAAAGAAAACAGUUUGUGCUGUAAAGAACAUUUAACACCUUACAACUAAAAAAACAAUUUGUGCAACGAUUGACCCUAAAACUUGCACAAUGGGUUUUUCAAGACAAAGGUAUUUGUGCUUAUGUUUUUUUCCACUUUUAAAGUUAAUUCUGUUAAAUCAGGCAUGUAUUAUUGUUUUUUCCGCAGCCUUUGCCCAAAAUUCGUUUUGUACAAAGCACUGUACUAUAAACAAACGUUAAAUUGUCGAGCUUUUAUCAGUAUAAAAUAUUGGUGUAAUUAUAUCCCAACGAUUAAAAUUAUUUUGAAUACAUUUUAUAUCAUUUUUUAGAUCUCAACGAAACAUUUUGUUCUCUAUUUUCUUAAAAAGAUUUUUUUGGCGUUUUAAACAAAAUUUACAUUGAUGGAAAUCCAGGAUUUAAAUGAUGUUUAAGAAUUGUAAAUAUUAAGAUGUAAAUAUGUAGAUUACAAAUAUUAAAACAUCUAUUGAUGAAUUUUUGUAAAAUAUUGAAACAAAAAUAUGUAAACAUGUGAGCAAGCAAACAAAACAUGUUUGUAUGCCUGGACAACUUUAAACUUGUAAACUUGUUUGUAUAUUUGUAAACAUGUAAACCUAUGAACCUGUAAACUGUAAACUACCUGGUGAAAUGUACUUGAAUAUAUAGCGUUAAUUUA
rnacentral:misc_RNA from 1 species